AACGAACGCUGGCGGCAGGCCUAACACAUGCAAGUCGAGCGAGGACUUCGGUUCUAGCGGCGGACGGGUGAGUAACGCGUGGGAAUGUGCCCUUCUCUACGGAAUAGCCCUGGGAAACUGGGAGUAAUACCGUAUACGCCCUAUUGGGGAAAGAUUUAUCGGAGAAGGAUCAGCCCGCGUUGGAUUAGGUAGUUGGUGGGGUAAUGGCCUACCAAGCCGACGAUCCAUAGCUGGUUUGAGAGGAUGAUCAGCCACACUGGGACUGAGACACGGCCCAGACUCCUGCGGGAGGCAGCAAUGGUGAAUCUUAGACGAUGGGGGCAACCCUGAUCUAGCCAUGCCGCGUGAGUGAUGAAGGCCUUAGGGUUGUAAAGCUCUUUCAGCUGGGAAGAUAAUGACGGUACCAGCAGAAGAAGCCCCGGCUAACUCCGUG
rnacentral:rRNA from 1 species